rnacentral:rRNA from 1 species
GACGAACGCUGGCGGCGUGCUUAACACAUGCAAGUCGAACGCGCCUGUCCUCUGGGUUUCUGGGGGGUGGGUGAGUGGCGAACGGGUGAGUAACACGUGAGUAACCUGCCCCCUUCUUCGGGAUAACGGUCUGAAAGGGCUGCUAAUACCGGGUAUUCACUGGUCUCCGCAUGGGGUCUGGUGGAAAGGUUUUUUUCUGGUGGGGGAUGGGCUCGCGGCCUAUCAGCUUAUUGGUGGGGUGAUGGCCCACCAAGGCUUUGACGGGUAGCCGGCCUGAGAGGGUGACCGGUCACAUUGGGACUGAGAUACGGCCCAGACUCCUACGGGAGGCAGCAGUGGGGAAUAUUGCACAAUGGGCGCAAGCCUGAUGCAGCGACGCCGCGUGAGGGAUGGAGGCCUUCGGGUUGUGAACCUCUUUCGCCCGUGGUCAAGCCGCGACGUGGGUCGUGGUGAGGGUAGUGGGUAAAGAAGCGCCGGCUAACUACGUG